AACCUGGACUUCCAUACCAUAUCAUGCCAUAACAUCAAUCAUAUCAUAUGAGGACUAAAGGAUCAUCCAAUAACCAAUCCCCAUCAACAUCAACAUCAUAAAUGCAAUGCAACAUAUUCGUGAAUACUAAUGCAAACAACCUAUUAUAUCUCAUGGCAUUCAUGAUGCAUGGGUCAUGCUCAAAAUUCAUAUUUCAUUUAAAUUAAAACUUAAGGUUUAUUCCACUCAC
rnacentral:lncRNA from 1 species